GAACUAGAAGCUUAUAUAGCAUUGGUCUUGUAAACCAAAGAAAGGUUUAACCCUAGUUCU
rnacentral:tRNA from 1 species